AAGCUCGUACCACAGACAUCUCUACCACAGACAACAUGAAGCUGAUCAUCCUCGCCUCCUUGGCCGUCGUGUCCCUGGCCGCCCCCAGGCCCGACAAACCCGUCCCAGCCCCCGCUCCCUCCUACGGCGCCCCCUCCCAGAGAUCCUUCGACCACUCCGCCGAAAACAUAGCCAUCCUCCGCGACGAGAGGCAGAUGUCUGACGACGCCAGCAGCUACAACUUCGCCAUCGAGACUGAGGACGGAAUCCAACGCGAGGAAUUCGGUUCUGCCAAUCGACGACGGAAGCGCUGAAGGAGCCGUCGCUCAGAGCGGCAAGGUCUCCUUCACCCUCCCCGACGGCCAACAGUUCGAGCUGACCUUCGUGGCUGACGAGAAUGGCUUCCAGCCCCAGUCUUCCUUCCUGCCAGUCGCUCCCGAAUUCCCCCACGAGAUUCCCCAGUUCGUCCUCGACCAGAUCGAAAAGGCAAGACGCGAGGACGAGGAAGCUGCCCGCUCCGGCCCACGAAGCAGCGGUGGACCAUCCAACAGCUACCAGGCCCCAUCCAACAGCUAUCAGGCCCCUUUGUAAGCAGCUUCAUUCCAGGGCUACCGGGCCCUUGAUCAGCUUCACGUCUUACUAAUCUCCAACGAACGACUUGCACUCGAGCUCCCGAAACCUAUUUUAUCAACAUAUUUAUUCUGAGACACCAGAAACUGGUAAGAUCUUUGUAAAUUAUGUAAAUAAAAAGAACGAUUAA